GUUGGCUCCAAGCGGUGUCGUUUUGUCUCGCUUAUAAGGGAAGAAAAACCCUAAAACUAAUGAAAAAAAUAAAAAGGGAAAAACUUUUAACUUUCUCCUCUCCAGUCAGCCGAUCUAACCAGCCCCCACCCCCUUUUUCAUUCGCAGGCUUUUACUUCGAUUUGGACUGCGGUUCGCAAUGCGCAGGGGUGCCAUGGAGAAUCAUCGAGGGUCAUCUGUUUCGGUUUCGAAACCCUGUCCUUACUUCGAUUGCGACGAAGAAGACGGGCUUCGUCGACUAGGUACGGAGUAUGCGUUGGAGUGUGUACGGGGGCGUGGCGUGGCUGCUGAAACGUUGGGGCGUACGGAGGCAUGGAGGCCGGGGCUUGGCUGAAGAGCAAGGUGGACCUUAGGGUUUCUGCCUGUUUCAAAUUUUGGGCCACUUGGGUCGAUACAAUUUUGGACUAGGUUUAGUAUUAGUUUUCGGCUGAUGGGGUCGGGCCUUUAAUCAUGUAAUUGGACUGUUAUAAAACUUGGGUCAAUUUGGGAUUGGGUAUUAAUUUGUAAAAGGACAUUUAAUGGACUGUUAAUUAUGUGGGUUUUUUAUUAUUUAUUUAUUUUAUAUUUUAUUUUGGGUUUCUAA